rnacentral:rRNA from 1 species
AGUGAACGCUGGCGGUAGGCCUAACACAUGCAAGUCGAACGGCAGCACAGUAAGAGCUUGCUCUUACGGGUGGCGAGUGGCGGACGGGUGAGGAAUACAUCGGAAUCUACUUUUUCGUGGGGGAUAACGUAGGGAAACUUACGCUAAUACCGCAUACGACCUACGGGUGAAAGCAGGGGAUCUUCGGACCUUGCGCGAGUGAAUGAGCCGAUGUCAGAUUAGCUAGUUGGCGGGGUAAAGGCCCACCAAGGCGACGAUCCGUAGCUGGUCUGAGAGGAUGAUCAGCCACACUGGAACUGAGACACGGUCCAGACUCCUACGGGAGGCAGCAGUGGGGAAUAUUGGACAAUGGGCGCAAGCCUGAUCCAGCCAUACCGCGUGGGUGAAGAAGGCCUUCGGGUUGUAAAGCCCUUUUGUUGGGAAAGAAAAGCAGCAGGUUAAUACCCCGCUGUUCUGACGGUACCCAAAGAAUAAGCACCGGCUAACUUCGUG